CCCAGCUGUAGGCAACUGCCUAGGUUCCAUUUUACCUAGGCAAGUGCUACACUUCUGGAAGAAAAGCAACCAUUAGCUGGCUGACAUU
rnacentral:snoRNA from 1 species